rnacentral:rRNA from 1 species
UUAGAGUUUGAUCCUGGCUCAGGAUGAACGCUAGCUACAGGCUUAACACAUGCAAGUCGAGGGGCAUCAUGGGGUAGCAAUACUCCGAUGGCGACCGGCGAAUGGGUGAGUAACACGUAUCCAACCUGCCCCGUACUCAGGGAUAGCCCUUAGAAAUGAGGAUUAAUACCUGAUUGCGUCCGGAGGCUGCAUGGCCUCCGUACUAAAGAUUCAUCGGUACGGGAUGGGGAUGCGUCUGAUUAGGUAGUAGGCGGGGUAACGGCCCACCUAGCCUACGAUCAGUAGGGGUUCUGAGAGGAAGGUCCCCCACAUUGGUACUGAGACACGGACCAAACUCCUACGGGAGGCAGCAGUGAGGAAUAUUGGUCAAUGGGCGCAAGCCUGAACCAGCCAAGUAGCGUGAAGGAUGACGGCCCUAUGGGUUGUAAACUUCUUUUUCCGGGGGAUAAAGUGAGCCACGUGUGGCUUAUUGCAGGUAACCGGUGAAUAAGGACCGGCUAAUUCCGUGCCAGCAGCCGCGGUAAUACGGAAGGUCCGAGCGUUAUCCGGAUUUAUUGGGUUUAAAGGGUGCGUAGGCUGCGUGUCAAGUCAGCGGUGAAAUGUACGGGCUCAACCCGUAACGUGCCGUUGAAACUGAUGUGCUGGAAUGGCGUUGCCGUGGGAGGAAUGUGUAAUGUAGCGGUGAAAUGCAUAGAUAUUACACAGAACACCGAUUGCGAAGGCAUCUCACGAAGCGCUGAUUGACGCUGAUGCACGAAAGUGCGGGGAUCAAACAGGAUUAGAUACCCUGGUAGUCCGCACAGUAAACGAUGAUAACUAGCUGUCGGCGAUAGACGGUCGGUGGCCAAGCGAAAGCGAUAAGUUAUCCACCUGGGGAGUACGACCGCAAGGUUGAAACUCAAAGGAAUUGACGGGGGCCCGCACAAGCGGAGGAACAUGUGGUUUAAUUCGAUGAUACGCGAGGAACCUUACCCGGGCUCGAACGGUACCGGACGACACAAGAGAUGGUGUUUCCCUUCGGGGCUGGUAUCGAGGUGCUGCAUGGUUGUCGUCAGCUCGUGCCGUGAGGUGUCGGCUUAAGUGCCAUAACGAGCGCAACCCUUGUUGACAGUUGCCAUCAGGUAAAGCUGGGGACUCUGUCGAGACUGCCACCGUAAGGUGUGAGGAAGGGGGGGAUGACGUCAAAUCAGCACGGCCCUUAUGUCCGGGGCGACACACGUGUUACAAUGGUGACUACAGCGGGACGCUACCCUGCGAGGGGAUGCCAAUCUGUAAAAGUCAUCUCAGUUCGGAUCGGAGUCUGCAACUCGACUCCGUGAAGUUGGAUUCGCUAGUAAUCGCGCAUCAGCCAUGGCGCGGUGAAUACGUUCCCGGGCCUUGUACACACCGCCCGUCA